GAAGCGCUCCAACCCUUGGCUCCACUCCCCCGUUCCCCCACCCGAGUCUCUCUCCUCUAGGGUUCCUAUGGCCACCACCCUGCGCCGCCGCCGCUGCCACCACCACGCGAUGCUGCCACCAUUCUCCACCGCCAACGCUGCUUCUCCUCUCCUCUUCUCUCAUACUAUCCACCCCCUACCUCCUCUUUGCUGCCGGCGACGGCAUCUUCUUGGUCGCCAUCGUCGUCUUGGUCGUCGGCUUUUUCUCCCACUCCGCUGGCCGCCGGCACUGAUGAGCCCACCGGCGACCUCCACCACCGUAUUACAACGUUGCCCGUUACCCUACGAUGUUGCUCCUCCAUGAGACCACGAUCGAGAUGCCAUGUGAAGAAUAAGCAUAUCAAGUUUGUUGGGUCGUAUCCAUGUCAGUGAUAACCUAGGGUGCCAUCAUAUAGUUAAGUUGAGUUGUAGUGAGCUACACUUCGUUCACAUCUGGUAGCGGAAACUACCUUAUGUGGGAGCCCAUCACAACAAGCCUUUACUUGUGUGUCUAUUAGUUCAAGUUAUGCACCUGGAGCAGGUUCUUCUAUGUUAUUGUUGAUAUUUGCGAUAAUUCUUGAUGUUUAUUUUCUACUCAGAGUAGUUUUUCCUUCUU